ensembl:lncRNA
GUGACUGAAGCGCCCGCAGGUGCCUGUGCCUGUGUAUCCCGACAAUAAACCAAAUCCUCUUGCUGAUUGCAUCCUGUGGUGUCUCGGUCUGGUCUUUGGAGUUAGAGGGUCUCCAUCCCGAGGGAAAGUUCUCCCUGAGAGCUUUUCAUUUGGUGCAUUGGCCGGGAAAGGAGAUCCUCCACCCAGGGACCACCGACCACCCACUGGGAGGUAAGCCGGCCGGCGUCUGUCUGUCUGUCUGAUUUUGUCUCGUUCUGUCUUAUUCUGUCUGUUCUGUGAGCGCUCAGCCAGGUUCUGUGAGCGCUCAGCCAGGUCUGUUCUGUGAGCGCUCAGCCAGGUCUGUUCUGUGAGCGCUCAGCCAGGUCUGUUCUGUGAGCGCUCAGCCAGGUUCUGUGAGCGCUCAGCCAGGUUGUUUGGAAUUUGGGCGGGACGAAGAAGGAGCUGACGAGCUCGGACUUCUCGCCCCGCAGCCCUGGAAGACGUUCCAAGGGUGUUGGGGCCCGACUUUUCGGGGCCCAAUCUGGGAGAGGAGAAAGAUCCGGACUAACGGCACUCUGUCUGUAUUUUUGGCUUUCAGAGGGCCCCGGACCUUUGCCACCUCCAUCUGACUUUUUGCUUUCAGUUUGGUACCAAAGCCGUGCAGCACGCCUGUCUGUUGUUUGUUUGACUGUUGGUGUUGUUUGUUUUCUCUGUGUUCUAAUCUUCCUUAGAACUAACAUGGGACAGUCCCUAACAAUGCCCCUAAGUCUCACUCUUGAUCAUUAGAAAGACGUCCACGACCGGGCACACAACCAGUCCGUCGAGGUUAAAAAAGGAAAAUGACAGACUCUCUACACAUCCGAGUGGCCCACUUUCGGAGCGGGAUGGCCAGUGAAUGGCACAUUUAAUAAGAUCAUUAUUUUACAGGUUAAAGAUCGGGCCGUCCACGGACAUCCUGACCAGGUUUCUUAUAUUAUCACUUGAGAGAGAGUCUCGCCUUAAACCCCCCCCCCCCGGGCGGAACCCUUCGUGGACCCGAAUUGGCCUCCCCUCAACCCCCAGCCUG